rnacentral:rRNA from 1 species
UACGGGGGGGGCAAGCGUUGUUCGGAAUUACUGGGCGUAAAGGGCUCGUAGGCGGCCAACUAAGUCAUACGUGAAAUCCCUCGGCUUAACCGGGGAACUGCGUCUGAUACUGGAUGGCUUGAGUUCGGGAGAGGGAUGCGGAAUUCCAGGUGUAGCGGUGAAAUGCGUAGAUAUCUGGAGGAACACCGGUGGCGAAGGCGGCAUCC